GAAGUAAAUCUGUCUCCAUAUACAGUAGAGUACUCCAUAACUUGGUAGAAUUUCGUGUUGGCGCCACCUAUUGGAUUUGACCAUUUAAUUGAAUUUUCUAAUUGUUUUAAGCAAAAUUACUCAAAUUCAAGUACAAAAGGUUGAAUUAGCGAGUCAACUUUACUAGAAUUAUUAGAAAUUUCUUGUUAAACAAAUCGGAAUAAGUCAGAAACUCAUUAUUUUGAUUAUUCAAUAGAAUAGAACAUUUUCGCAUCUCUACAAAAGUGAAGAGCAGCAUUGAAAAAAAGACAUUCUAGUUAUUAGAAGAAUAAACUGAUUAAUACUGGAGGAAAACCAUUUUUAUGUAAUGUCGACUCGCUAAUUCAACUUUUUUGGCUAAAUUUCAAGCUAUUUUGAUUAAAACAAUUAAAUAAUUGGAUAAAAAUGGUUCUGAAAUUGUUAAUCCAAUAGGUGGCGCCAACACGAAAUUCUACCAAGUUAUGGAGUACUCUACUGUAUUUUUGUUUUAAAUUCAAAAAAAUUGAAUUAAAAUCAGUUAAUUUUGGAUUUGUUGUGAUUCAAGAUACAUUUUAAUGUGAUACUGUCUUAGCAAUUUCAUCAUUUUAAUAUUUCAUUGUAGUUAAGUUCAAAUCAAAUGAGAUGGACGCCUGAGACUGGAACCUUUCACAGUGAAUUAAACAACCUUUGCCAUCUUACCUCUUAUUAACUUUGAAGUUAUCAACUUACUAUCGUGAAAAACUUCACCCGAGUUGAAUAAAAUUUCAUUGUUGGACUAAAGGCCCAAAAUUCAAGUCACUGAUUCCAAUGGAGACGAAACAAAAAAGGACAAUCGUCGAAUCGGCCUAAGAUCUAGAAUAAAAUGAACCAUAUAUCAAUCGAAAGCUUAUGUUGUGUAGGGUCAAUACGGCGAAAGCCAAAACAGAGAAUGUUUGAACAGAGAAAGGCGAAAUAGCAAAGGGCAAAAUAAAGAAGCUAAAUAAUUAAACUGAUUGGAGUAUUUUCUGAAAAUUAAGCACAAUGCAUUGAUUGCCAUAAACUGAAUUUGCUCAAUCAAAUUCUUUCCUCAAUCAUGGAUAAUUACGAACUGAAUAAAACUCAAUAAAAGAAAGAUGAAAAUUUUUGCUUCUAUACGACAAUAUACGAUGUCUUUAGUGCAUUUGACUUUCUCUUUUUUGUUUA